rnacentral:rRNA from 1 species
UGCAGUCGAGCGGAUGAGAGGAGCUUGCUCCUUGAUUUAGCGGCGGACGGGUGAGUAAUGCCUAGGAAUCUGCCUGGUAGUGGGGGAUAACGUCCGGAAACGGGCGCUAAUACCGCAUACGUCCUACGGGAGAAAGCAGGGGACCUUCGGGCCUUGCGCUAUCAGAUGAGCCUAGGUCGGAUUAGCUAGUUGGUGAGGUAAUGGCUCACCAAGGCGACGAUCCGUAACUGGUCUGAGAGGAUGAUCAGUCACACUGGAACUGAGACACGGUCCAGACUCCUACGGGAGGCAGCAGUGGGGAAUAUUGGACAAUGGGCGAAAGCCUGAUCCAGCCAUGCCGCGUGUGUGAAGAAGGUCUUCGGAUUGUAAAGCACUUUAAGUUGGGAGGAAGGGUUGUAGAUUAAUACUCUGCAAUUUUGACGUUACCGACAGAAUAAGCACCGGCUAACUUCGUGCCAGCAGCCGCGGUAAUACGAAGGGUGCAAGCGUUAAUCGGAAUUACUGGGCGUAAAGCGCGCGUAGGUGGUUCGUUAAGUUGGAUGUGAAAGCCCCGGGCUCAACCUGGGAACUGCAUCCAAAACUGGCGAGCUAGAGUACGGUAGAGGGUGGUGGAAUUUCCUGUGUAGCGGUGAAAUGCGUAGAUAUAGGAAGGAACACCAGUGGCGAAGGCGACCACCUGGACUGAUACUGACACUGAGGUGCGAAAGCGUGGGGAGCAAACAGGAUUAGAUA